rnacentral:rRNA from 1 species
AUACGUAGGGUCCAAGCGUUGUCCGGAAUUAUUGGGCGUAAAGAGCUCGUAGGCGGUUUGUCGCGUCUGCUGUGAAAUCCGGUGGCUUAACCGCCGGCGUGCAGUGGGUACGGGCAGGCUAGAGUGCGGUAGGGGAGACUGGAACUCCUGGUGUAGCGGUGAAAUGCGCAGAUAUCAGGAAGAACACCGAUGGCGAAGGCAGGUCUCUGGGCCGUUACUGACGCUGAGGAGCGAAAGCAUGGGGAGCGAACAGGAUUAGAUACCCUGGUAGUCCAUGCCGUAAACGUUGGGCGCUAGAUGUGGGGUCCAUUCCACGGGUUCCGCGUCGUAGCUAACGCAUUAAGCGCCCCGCCUGGGGAGUACGGCCGCAAGGCUAAA